GAACGAACCCUUCGGGGUUAGUGGCGCACGGGUGCGUAACGCGUGGGAACCUGCCUUUAGGUUCGGAAUAACAGUUAGAAAUGACUGCUAAUACCGGAUAAUGUCUUCGGACCAAAGAUUUAUCGCCUUUAGAUGGGCCCGCGUUAGAUUAGAUAGUUGGUGGGGUAAUGGCCUACCAAGUCGACGAUCUAUAGCUGGUCUGAGAGGAUGAUCAGCCACACUGGGACUGAGACACGGCCCAGACUCCUACGGGAGGCAGCAGUGGGGAAUAUUGGACAAUGGGCGAAAGCCUGAUCCAGCAAUGCCGCGUGAGUGAUGAAGGCCUUAGGGUUGUAAAGCUCUUUUACCAGGGAUGAUAAUGACAGUACCUGGAGAAUAAGCUCCGGCUAACUCCGUGCCAGCAGCCGCGGUAAUACGGAGGGAGCUAGCGUUGUUCGGAAUUACUGGGCGUAAAGCGCGCGUAGGCGGCUUUUUAAGUCAGAGGUGAAAUCCCAGGGCUCAACCCUGGAACUGCCUUUGAAACUGGAAAGCUAGAAUAUUGGAGAGGUAAGUGGAAUUCCGAGUGUAGAGGUGAAAUUCGUAGAUAUUCGGAAGAACACCAGUGGCGAAGGCGACUUACUGGACAAUUAUUGACGCUGAG
rnacentral:rRNA from 1 species